rnacentral:rRNA from 1 species
CGUGAGUGUUGGGUUAAGUCCCGCAACGAGCGCAACCCCUAUUGUUAGUUGCCAUCAUUCAGUUGGGCACUCUAGCGAGACUGCCGGUAAUAAACCGGAGGAAGGUGGGAUGACGUCAAAUCAUCAUGCCCCUUAUGACCUGGGCUACACACGUGCUACAAUGGUUGGUACAACGAGUUGCGAGUCGGUGACGGCGAGCUAAUCUCUUAAAGCCAAUCUCAGUUCGGAUUGUAGGCUGCAACUCGCCUACAUGAAGUCGGAAUCGCUAGUAAUCGCGGAUCAGCACGCCGCGAUGAAUACGUUCCCGGGCCUU